rnacentral:rRNA from 1 species
AACGAACGCUGGCGGCACGCCUAACACAUGCAAGUCGGACGAAGCCUUCGGGCUUAGUGGCGCACGGGUGCGUAACGCGUGGGAACCUGCCUUUAGGUUCGGAAUAACUCAGAGAAAUUUGAGCUAAUACCGGAUAAUGUCUUCGGACCAAAGAUUUAUCGCCUUUAGAUGGGCCCGCGUAGGAUUAGCUAGUUGGUGGGGUAAAGGCCUACCAAGGCGACGAUCCUUAGCUGGUCUGAGAGGAUGAUCAGCCACACUGGGACUGAGACACGGCCCAGACUCCUACGGGAGGCAGCAGUGGGGAAUAUUGGACAAUGGGCGAAAGCCUGAUCCAGCAAUGCCGCGUGAGUGAUGAAGGCCUUAGGGUUGUAAAGCUCUUUUACCAGGGAUGAUAAUGACAGUACCUGGAGAAUAAGCUCCGGCUAACUCCGUGCCAGCCGCCGCGGUAACAC